rnacentral:rRNA from 1 species
AGUGAACGCUGGCGGUAGGCCUAACACAUGCAAGUCGAACGGCAGCACAGUAAGAGCUUGCUCUUACGGGUGGCGAGUGGCGGACGGGUGAGGAAUACAUCGGAAUCUACUUUUUCGUGGGGGAUCACGUAGGGAAACUUACGCUAAUACCGCAUACGACCUACGGGUGAAAGCAGGGGAUCUUCGGCCCUUGCGCGAUUGAAUGAGCCGAUGUCGGAUUAGCUAGUUGGCGGGGUAAAGGCCCACCAAGGCGACGAUCCGUAGCUGGUCUGAGAGGAUGAUCAGCCACACUGGAACUGAGACACGGUCCAGACUCCUACGGGAGGCAGCAGUGGGGAAUAUUGGACAAUGGGCGCAAGCCUGAUCCAGCCAUACCGCGUGGGUGAAGAAGGCCUUCGGGUUGUAAAGCCCUUUUGUUGGGAAAGAAAAGCAGAAGGUUAAUACCCCGCUGUUCUGACGGUACCCAAAGAAUAAGCACCGGCUAACUUCGUG